CCCUUAGAUGUUCUGGGCAGCACGCGCGCUACAAUGGUCUUCGCAAACGGAUGCAUUCUCGAAGGAGAAUGCCAAUCUUGGAAUCUCUGCCUUGGUCGGGACAGUUGCUUGCAAUUUUUCGACUCGAACCAGGAAUUCCUUGUAAUCGUGAUUCAUCACAUCACGAUGAAUACGUCCCUGCCCUUUGUACACACCGCCCGUCGCUCCUACCGAUCGAAGAGUUAGGUGAAUUGUUUUGAUCGAUAAGAUUUGACUAUGGUCAACUCUCGUUGUGAAAUUCUGUGAAUCUGACUGUUUAGAGGAAGGAAAAGUCGUAACA
rnacentral:rRNA from 1 species